GACGAACGCUGGCGGCGUGCUUAACACAUGCAAGUCGAACGGAAAGGCCCUGCUUUUGUGGGGUGCUCGAGUGGCGAACGGGUGAGUAACACGUGAGUAACCUGCCCUUGACUUUGGGAUAACUUCAGGAAACUGGGGCUAAUACCGGAUAGGAGCUCCUGCUGCAUGGUGGGGGUUGGAAAGUUUCGGCGGUUGGGGAUGGACUAGCUGCUUAUCAGCUUGUUGGUGGGGUAGUGGCUUACCAAGGCUUUGACGGGUAGCCGGCCUGAGAGGGUGACCGGCCACAAUAGGACUGAGAUACGGCGCAGACUCCUACGGGAGGCAGCAGGGGGGAAUAUUGCACAAUGGGCGGAAGCCUGAGGCAGCAACGCCGCGUGCGGGAUGACGGCCUUCGAGUUGUAAACCGCUUUCUCCUGUGACGAAGCGUGAGUGACGGUAAUGGGUAAAGAAGCACCGGCUAACUACGUG
rnacentral:rRNA from 1 species